UGAUUUGAUUUUUUGAAGUUAUAAAAUUUUCAUCAAAAAUGUUUAAAGCCCCCGUUUUAAAAAUUUUCGUCAAAAGUUUAAAGCCCCACCCUCAUAUCAUUCUGAUUUUUCAUUCUGGUUUUCAUUUAACUCUCAUUUCUUCAUCUCUCCUUCCUAGGUUUUCUCUCUCCCCCUCACUUCCUUCUCAUUUCUUCUUCACUAUCUAUCUUUGAAGAACAGUUGCUGCUGCUGCCGCUUUUUACCACCGCGACUGUCGCCUCCUCUACUCACGCACUGACGGUCCUUCACUCUUUUUCUCAUCUGCACAGAUUGAAUUGCGUUCAAGUUGAAGUUUUAUGUUGAAGAUUCAGUGAAGGUUGAAUGUCGGUUGAAGAUGGAAUUUCUACAUAUUUUUUAUUUUUUUAUUUCCUCUUCUGAAUGUUUGUAUCAAUUCGUUCAAAAUUGUUAGUAAUAAGAUUAUACUUCUAGUUUCCUUUAUUAAUUUAUAAUGUUAUUUUUUUUUGAUGUAAGAAUGCUUGUAACUGUUACUGUACUAAUAACACAAUGUUGACGCUUACAAGUGUCUAUAUAGUAGCUUCAAAUUGCGACA